rnacentral:rRNA from 1 species
CUCGAAAUAGCUUUAGGGCUAGCCUCAUGGAUCAUUGAUGGGGGUAGAGCACUGAAUGUGCGCGGGGGCCACAAAGCCUACCAAACGCUAUCAAACUUCGAAUACCAUACAAUGCAGACCAUGGGAGUCAGUCCGCGAGAGAUAAGUUCCGCGGGCAAAAGGGGAACACCCCAGAUCAACCGCUAAGGUCCCCAAGUUCACGUUAAGUGGAGAAGGAUGUGGAAUUGCACAGACAACCAGGAUGUUGGCUCAGAAGCAGCCACACAUUUAAAGAGUGCGUAAUAGCUCACUGGUCGAGUGAUUGUGCGCCGAAGAUGUCCGGGGCUAAACGUGACACCGAAGCGAUGGGUGCAUCUGAAGAAGAUGCGCGGUAGAGGAGCAAUGUGCAGAGGCAGAAGCCGUAUCGAGAGGCACGGUGGACACUGCACAAGAGAGAAUGCCGGUAUGAGUAGCGAGAGGCAUGCGAGAAACAUGCCCGUCGAAAGCCCAAGGUUUCCUGGGGAAGGUUCAUCCGCCCAGGGUAAGUCGGGGCCUAAGCCGAGGACGGAAGUCGUAGGCGAUGGACAGCAGGUGUAGAUUCCUGCACUACCGAUGGAAUGAAGCAGUGACACAGAAGGAUAACUCGAGCAGGGUGAUGGUCAACCCUGUGCAAGCAUCAAGGUUGGGUUGUAGUGAAGUACGCAAUCCUAUAAGCUGAGGUGUGAUGCGGACCGAAAUUUCAGUAGGGAAGCGAGUGAGUUCACGCUGGCGAGAAAAGCUGCUAGUACAUCCAAAGGUACCCGUACCGGAAACCGACGCAGGUGGGCGAGGAGAGAAUCCUGAGACGAACGGGAGAACCCUUGUUAAGGAACUCGGCAAAAUGACCCCGUAACUUCGGGAUAAGGGGUGCCUGCGAGAGCAGGCCGCAGAGAAUAGUCACAAGCGACUGUUUAGCAAAAACACAGGUAUCUGCGAAAGCGAGAGCUGACGUAUAGGUGCUGACACCUGCCCGGUGCUGGAAGGUUAAGGGAACAUGUUAGAGCAAUCGAAGCAUCGAACCGAAGCCCCAGUAAACGGCGGCCGUAACUAUAACGGUCCUAAGGUAGCGAAAUUCCUUGUCGGGUAAGUUCCGACCCGCACGAAUGGUGUAACGACUUGUGAGCUGUCUCAACAGGGGGCCCGGUGAAAUUGAAGUAUGGGUGAAGAUGCCCAUUACCCGCGACUGGACGGAAAGACCCCGUAGAGCUUUACUGCAGCCUGAUAUUGAGUUUCGGUAACUGAUGCACAGGAUAGGUGGGAGUCUGAGAGACAUGGGUUUCGGCUCAUGUGGAGACGAUGUUGGGAUACCACUCUUCGGUUACUGAAAUUCUAACAUAGCUCUGUGAAACCAGAGGAUGGACAGUGUCAGGUGGA